GCGGCGGUAGCCAAGCCCGGUCAAACUCCACAGGAUUACAGGCGAAGGACUCAAGAUCCUUUCCCGCAGGGGUUCGCCGGUUCAAAUCCGGCCCGCCGCACCA
rnacentral:tRNA from 1 species